GCAUUGGUGGUUCAAUAGUAGAAUUCCUGCCUCCCAUGCAGGAGACUUGCAUUCAAUUCCCAGCCAAUACA
rfam:Alligator mississippiensis ScZkoYb_176, whole genome shotgun sequence.